CAAGUUUUCAUUUUUCUAAGAUAAAUACCCAGGAGUGCAAUCACUGGGUAGUGCAAUAGUUGCAUGUUUAGUUUUUAAAGAAACUGUCAAACUGUUUCCCAGAGUAGCUAUACCAUUUUACAUUCCAAUCAGAAAUGUGUGAAAGAUUUAGUUUCUUCAGAUUUUCACCAGAAUUUGAUGUUGUCACUUUUUUUUUUCCUUCCCGGUAAAGAAUCCAACGUGCACUUCCCGAGUCCAGAGGAUGGAGGUGGUAGCCACAGAGGAGUUGCUGCAGUGGACGCAAAGGUGGCAGGUUAACGACAGCUGGAAUCUCUGGAAUUUACCGUAUGCCAAGGACAAAUCUAAUUUUAUGCAUGCUAACAUAUUAUGUUUUCUCAGGAUCAAGGGCGACAAAGUGGCCUUGGAAGAUAGAGAAUUGGAAUCCUAAUAAGAAUGCCAGCUGCUGUAUCAUGAGGACAUUCAAGUAGCACCAUGGAGUACAUGGACAGGAACCAAACUGUUGGCACCAACAUGUUAGCCAAAUGACCAAGCCAUUUUAAAAGGGGAUCUUCCAACUCCUAGCCUUUGAGUCUUUAAGCUAAAGCCUCAAAUAUCAUGUAGCAGAGACAAGCCUUUCCCACUGAGUCCUGUCUGCAUUCCUGACCCACAGAAACCAUGAGAGAUACUAUUAUUAGUGCUUUACGGCAAUACAUUUUGGGGUUAUUUGUUAUGUAGCAAGAGAUAGCUAAAAAGUGUCUGGCCCACAAUAAGUUCCCAAUAAAUCCUCAUUGAAUUAAAGGAUAAACGUAAGCAGAUUGUUUUCCCAGGGUACUCAGUGAUCAUAAUAUCAUGUCUGUUAUUAACCUAAAUGAAACUGUUGAAAAAGCCUUAGCUCUAUAUCCUCUUUGGUUUUGGAGUCUCAGGAUGGGGGCUCGAGUCUUGGAUCUGUGACUUAUUUGCCAUUUGACCUUGAAUAAUUCACUUCCAGUCUUUGGUUCUUGGUUUUCCUAAUCUGUAACCUAGAUAUAACAAUAACAGUUAUAAUUAUGCUCUAACAUAAACCACCAACUUGGAAGAGUCUUGUCGACCAUGCAGACCCCUGGAUCAGGGCUCUCCUAAAACCCAUGCCACAGCUAGAAUUGCCCAUUAUGUGAACAAAUAAACCUUCUUUAUUACCAUUUAAGUCAGUUCCAUUUGUUGGUGUCUCCUACACCCCAAAAAAAGCUCUUUAUAUAAAGCAUUCACACUAACAGAAGUGAAACAAUAGCCAACAAAACAAGAUAACAUGUAAUGAGUAAGAUGAUGCAUGGUAGUCUCAAGGAUAACAAUUAAGAAUAAAGUGAUAUCACAUCACCCUAUCAACCAUUUCUGUGAGUUGAUGGCAAGGACAUCCUAAUUCACUUGCCUGGGAAAGUCAGGGAUGCCCAAUGGGGAUCUGUUUUCAUAUAAAUUUCAGUUUCUGUAAGUAUAUUUUAGAAUUCCUGUCCUCAAAUUUCUUCUCUGUGACUGCAUUUGACAGGUAAUGCUCAGUAGCAUCAAAUUCAUGUUUAAAUGCCAUAAAGGAACAAGAAACCAUUCGUGUUUCAGAAAGGAUCUCCAAGUGGCCAUAUUGUGUUGUACACAGGCAUCAAGAAAACAAGUAGCCAGGCUUCUGUGAUCACUGCCUCCCCUGUAGGUCCCCAAAGAGUAUGAGAGGGUCUUAUGGGCCACUUGCCACAAUAUCAUUGCCUUGUCACAGAGUUCUUCAUUUUGUUCCAAGGGCAGAGGACACUGUCCUGGGCAUGUCAUGAAAUACUAAUAAAAAACUCAUCUUCCAGGUUGAAGAGUGUUCAUUUUUAAGAGCAGAGGAGACAGGGAUUUCUGACAGGCCUGGAUGGACAGCAUGAAACAUGACCACUGUGCAAUUUGGCCUCCUGAGAUUUAGAGAGAUGGUGGCUUGAAGUGGUGCUGUGGAUAAUAUAGGCAGGUCUCAAAUCUGUUUUAUUAGCACUGGUCUCCUUCUUCAUAUAUGUUAGAAUGACUUUGAUGGGCAAUUUAAUUAAACUGCUAUUUGU